rnacentral:tRNA from 1 species
ACUUGAAUAGCUUAAUUAAGAGCAUGAUAUUGAAGAUAUCAAGGUAAUAUGCGUAUUUUCGAG